AGUGAACGCUGGCGGUAGGCCUAACACAUGCAAGUCGAACGGCAGCACAGUAAGAGCUUGCUCCUACGGGUGGCGAGUGGCGGACGGGUGAGGAAUACAUCGGAAUCUACUUUUUCGUGGGGGAUAACGUAGGGAAACUUACGCUAAUACCGCAUACGACCUACGGGUGAAAGCAGGGGAUCUUCGGACCUUGCGCGAUUGAGUGAGCCGAUGUCGGAUUAGCUAGUUGGCGGGGUAAAGGCCCACCAAGGCGACGAUCCGUAGCUGGUCUGAGAGGAUGAUCAGCCACACUGGAACUGAGACACGGUCCAGACUCCUACGGGAGGCAGCAGUGGGGAAUAUUGGACAAUGGGCGCAAGCCUGAUCCAGCCAUACCGCGUGGGUGAAGAAGGCCUUCGGGUUGUAAAGCCCUUUUGUUGGGAAAGAAAAGCAGCAGGUUAAUACCCCGCUGUUCUGACGGUACCCAAAGAAUAAGCACCGGCUAACUUCGUG
rnacentral:rRNA from 1 species